CCCUUAGAUGUUCUGGGCCGCACGCGCGCUACACUGAUUCAUGCAACAAGUUUUGUCCUUGGCUGAUAGGCCUGGGUAAUCUUUGAACGUGAAUCGUGAUGGGGAUAGAUGAUUGCAAUUAUUCAUCUUCAACGAGGAAUUCCUAGUAAACGCAAGUCAUCAGCUUGCAUUGAUUACGUCCCUGCCCUUUGUGCACACCGCCCGUCGCACCUACCGAUUGAAUGGUCCGGUGAAAUCUUCGGAUCUGAGAGAUGUCUGAUUAAUUUCGGACGCCUUUUGGAAAAGUUGUUUAAACCUUACCAUUUAGAGGAAGGUGAAGUCGUAACA
rnacentral:rRNA from 1 species